rnacentral:rRNA from 1 species
UACGUAGGGUGCAAGCGUUGUCCGGAAUUAUUGGGCGUAAAGAGCUCGUAGGCGGUUUGUCACGUCGGAUGUGAAACCCUGAGGCUCAACCUCAGGCCUGCAUUCGAUACGGGCAGACUAGAAUUCGGCGAGGGGAGACUGAAUUCCUGGUGUAGCGGUGAAAUGCGCAGAUAUCAGGAGGAACACCGGUGGCGAAGGCGGGUCUCUGGGCCGAUAUUGACGCUGAGGAGCGAAAGCGUGGGGAGCAAACAGG